rnacentral:rRNA from 1 species
AACGAACGCUGGCGGCGUGGAUAAGACAUGCAAGUCGGACGAGAUUUUUCGUUGUAGCAAUAUGAUGGGAAGUUUAGUGGCGAACGGGUGCUUAACACGUGGGCAACCUGCCAGGAAGUGGGGGAUAGCUCGCCGAAAGGCGAAUUAAUACCGCAUGUGAUUAGAGAGGACAUCCUUUCGAAAUUAAAGUCGGGGCAACCUGACGCUUCUUGUCGGGCCCGCGGCCUAUCAGCUAGUUGGUGGGGUAACGGCUCACCAAGGCUUUGACGGGUAGCUGGUCUGAGAGGACGACCAGCCACACUGGGACUGAGACACGGCCCAGACACCUACGGGUGGCAGCAGUCGAGAAUUUUUGACAAUGGGGGAAACCCUGAUCGAGCGACGCCGCGUGGAGGAUGAAGGUCUUCGGAUUGUAAACUCCUGUCAUUGGGGAACAAUGCGUGACGGUUAACUGCCGUCGCGUUGAUAGUACCCGAAGAGGAAGAGACGGCUAACUCUGUGCCAGCAGCCGCCGUAAAAC